rnacentral:rRNA from 1 species
GACGAACGCUGGCGGCGUGCCUAACACAUGCAAGUCGUACGGGCUUGAGGGGCAACUCUCAAGUCAGUGGCGAACGGGUGCGUAACACGUGAGCAACUUGCCCUAUGGUGGGGGAUAGCCGGCCCAACGGCCGGGUAAUACCGCAUAUGGCGCUGAGGUCACAUGGCCUUAGUGGGAAAGUGGCCGCAAGGUCGCGCCAAAGGUGGGGCUCGCGGCGUAUCAGCUGUUGGCGGGGUAAUGGCCCACCAAGGCUACGACGCGUAGCUGGUCUGAGAGGAUGGCCGGCCACACUGGGACUGAGACACGGCCCAGACUCCUACGGGAGGCAGCAGUGGGGAAUCUUGCGCAAUGGGCGAAAGCCUGACGCAGCGACGCCGCGUGAGGGAUGACGGCCUGG